UACGUAUGUCGCAAGCGUUAUCCGGAUUUAUUGGGCGUAAAGCGCGUCUAGGUGGUUUGGUAAGUCUGAUGUGAAAAUGCGGGGCUCAACUCCGUAUUGCGUUGGAAACUGGCAAACUAGAGUACUGGAGAGGUAAGCGGAACUACUAGUGUAGAGGUGAAAUUCGUAGAUAUUUGUAGGAAUUCCGAUGGAGAAGGCAGCCUACUGGACAGAUACUGACGCUGAGGCGCGAAAGCGUGGGUAGCAAACAGG
rnacentral:rRNA from 1 species